GGCUAACUCCGUGCCAGCAGCCGCGGUAAUACGGAGGGUGCGAGCGUUAAUCGGAAUUACUGGGCGUAAAGCGCAUGCAGGCGGCCUGUUAAGUCAGAUGUGAAAGACCCGGGGCGUUAACCUCGGAAUUGCAUUUGAAACUGGCAGGCUAGAGUCUUGUAGAGGGGGGUAGGAAGUUUCAGGUGUAGCGGUGAAAUGCGUAGAGAUCUGAAGGAAUACCAGUGGCGAAGGCGGCCCCCUCGGACAAAGACUGACGCUCAGAUGCGAAAGCGUGGGGAGCAAACAGGAUUAGAUACCCCUGGUAG
rnacentral:rRNA from 1 species